UACGUAGGGGGCAAGCGUUGUCCGGAUUUAUUGGGCGUAAAGAGCGUGUAGGCGGCCAGAUAGGUCCGUUGUGAAAACUCGAGGCUCAACCUCGAGACGCCGAUGGAAACCAUCUGGCUAGAGUCCGGAAGAGGCGAGUGGAAUUCCCGGUGUAGCGGUGAAAUGCGCAGAUAUCGGGAGGAACACCUAUGGCGAAGGCAGCUCGCUGGGACGUAACUGACGCUGAGACGCGAAAGCGUGGGGAGCAAACAGG
rnacentral:rRNA from 1 species